rnacentral:rRNA from 1 species
AGAAUCAACGCUGGCGGCGUGCCUCAGACAUGCAAGUCGAACGCGAAAGCCCCCUUCGGGGGGCAAGUAGAGUGGCGCACGGGUGAGUAACACGUAGGUAAUCUACCUUUGGAUGGGGAAUAACAACCGGAAACGGUUGCUAAUACCGCAUAAUGCAGCGGCACCUAAUGGUGACAGUUGUUAAAGCGGGGGAUCGAAAGACCUCGCGUCUGAAGAGGAGCCUGCGGCGGAUUAGCUAGCUGGUAGGGUAACGGCCUACCAAGGCUACGAUCCGUA